rnacentral:rRNA from 1 species
GAUGAACGCUGGCGGCGUGCUUAAUACAUGCAAGUCGAGCGAACGGACGAAAAUUUUCCUGUUCUGAUGUUGCGGCCGGCCGGGUAAUAAACAGGUGAUUAACCUACCAAUAAGACUGGGAUAACUUCGGGAAACCUUAGUAAAUACCGGAUAAUAUUUUAACCCGCUGGGUUCAAAAGUGAAUACGGGUCUGGCGGUCCCUUUUGGAUGAAUCCGCGCUGCAUUAGCUAGUUGGUAAGUUAACGCCUUACCAAGGCACCGAUGCAUAGCCGACCUGAGAGGGUGAUCGGCCACACUGGAACUGAGACACGGUCCAGACUCCUACGGGAGGCAGCAGUAGGGAAUCUUCCGCAAUGGGCGAAAGCCUGACGGAGCAACGCCGCGUGAGUGAUGAAGGUCUUCGGAUCGUAAAACUCUGUUAUUAGGGAAGAACAUAUGUGUAAGUAACUGUGCACAUCUUGACGGUACCUAAUCAGAAAGCCACGGCUAACUACGUG